UAUAAGAAGAGUCUGAAACUUGUGUUGUGUGCUUUUCAUUCUAGGAUAAAAGGGGUUAUCUUUAAUAACCCUAUCAGCCUGGUGCCGUGACGCGGAUCCCAACAUAUCAGCUCGCUGACGAGAGUAGCGGACACGCUGAAACCCACCGGUGGUCUGAGUCAAGGACCUGUCUAAAGUCCCGGGAGGUAACUUCCUCGCUGGGCCAGCGUCAUAGGUUAACUCCUUUCGCCAAUGAGGGAUUGACGGGAUCCGACCGGGAGAAAAACACACCACAGCAAGAUCCACAAGCAGUGAGACUAGGAGACUGGGUGUUCAUCAAAAUCAUCAGAAGGAAGGACUGGGCGAGCCAAAGUUGGGAAGGACCAUUCCAAGUGCUCCUGACCACGCCAACAGCUGUGAAGAUCGCUGAAAGACCUUCCUGGAGUCACCUCAGCCACUGUAAGUUACAGAGAGUGUUAAGUACCUAAAGGUUGGAACAGUGGGGAAGUCCGACUACAAAGGGGUUUGGUUUUUUAGGGCCACUCAUCUCAAUCUCGGUGAAGAAACAAACUGAUCCCUGUUCUUUAGAGUCCUGGGUAAAAUUAACAUCUCUGCUAACCUAGCAAAAAUGGGGUUCCCACGGAGAUGGGGCUCCUUUGCGUUGUGGCUAUGCGUGCAUUAUCUGUUUGAGUCCAGAUCCGCUGAGUGAGAGAGGAAAGAGGUUCAUCCACUCUGCUGCCAUGAAGAUUUGGCUGGGUGAUAUCCCAAACCACUACGAUGACAACCUAUGGGAAACGUAUGCAAGAACUGUAAUCCAGCAGCAUAACAA